CCCUUAGAUGUUCUGGGCCGCACGCGCGCUACACUGAUGCAUUCAACGAGCCUAGCCUUGACCGAGAGGUCCGGGUAAUCUUUGAAACUGCAUCGUGAUGGGGCUAGAUUAUUGCAAUUAUUAAUCUUCAACGAGGAAUGCCUAGUAAGCGUGAUUCAUCAAAUCGCGUUGAUUACGUCCCUACCCUUUGUGCACACCGCCCGUCGCUCCUACCGAUUGAGUGUGUUGGUGAGGAGUUCGGAUUGGCUCUUAGUGGUGGUUCGCCACCACCUAGAGCUGAGAAGUUCUCCAAACCGCCCCACUUAGAGGAAGGAGAAGUCGUAACA
rnacentral:rRNA from 1 species